AUGGGAGACCGAGAAGGAAUGUUUUGUGGACCGGGGAUAUUUAAGCAGUCGGGGAGGAAACCAAAAAAUGUACUCUCCGUCCUCACUGCUGUGGAGGUCUCCAGCCCAGCGCAGGAUCCUCGCUGUCGGCCUCCGCGGGGAUUGCUCUUUGCACAGGCGAGACACGUCGGGAUGCCGGGGUCUCCCCGGGUCUCAGCCUUCGGCGACGGUACGAGGCAGAAAGGAAAGGAUCUCGGUACGGCGAGUUUGUUCCUAGGGGUUAACAGUAUGUCAAAUAAUUUUAACUGGGUUUCUGGCAAUUAAACCCGGAGUAUUUGUCGAAGCGGGGCAGCCCUACAUCCACCGGUUUUCCGAGCAUUUAGUAGCGGUGCGGAGGCGAAGAGAUCAGCAAACACUUUUUAGCCCAGCGCACUGCAAUUUAAAGGGCUUUCUGGCGUGGCAAAUAGGCAGGCGAUGGUUCGGGCUGGGGGGUGGUGGUGAGGAAAGCGAACCUGCGUUCAGGGAAUCCAAUAUUGCUAAGUACCUCUGGCGAGGCUUGGCUGGAGCCGCACGGGGUAUUUGAGGUUAAUAUGUAAGGGAGGGAAGGAAGACACUAAGCGCUUCGGAAGUGAACAUGAAUGCAAGCAUGUAAUCUAUUCACCAUGAAAAUCAGUGCAGACUUGACCCUGGCACAUUCUUGCUAGGAAGGUUUCCAGCAAAACCCUGCAGAGCGAGGGGGCUUUAAAUAUAUAUAUAAGUUGUUUUUUUUUUUUUUUUUGGGGGGGGGGAGGGGGUGAACCUCAAGACUCGAUCAAGGCAAAUGUAAAAAAAAAAAGGGGAAAAAAAAAGGUGGGGGAAGACGUCAACCCUAAACUGACCGCUUUCCCAAGGAGCGCUUCCUGCUAGGAAGCAGCUUUCUAGAAGGAAUCGUUGCUUAAUUUCUCUUGCUCCCUUCCUUUUGGAGCCUGCCAGCGAGCCGCCACACACCCCAGCAAGCGAACAAACAAACAGAGAGCUCUCACCUAGCCCUGGGGGCAUUGCUAAGUGCUGCAGAGCCAGGGGGUGCGAGGGGCCGGGCGCUAAGUGUGGGGCAGUGCCGCGCGGUGCCUUUGUGUCCUGCACUGUACCGGGGCCAACCUGCGCGGUGCUGCGCGGUGCUGCGCUGGGCUGGGCUGGGCUGGGCGGGCGGCGGGGGCGGGCGGCGCGGGGCCGCGCGGUGCGGGCGCGGGUGCGGGUGCGGGGCCGUGCGGUGCGGGGCCGCGCCGCGCCGAUCUGUUGCUUCCCCCGAGAUGGCUACAAAGAGGCGCGGGCCCGCAGCCGCCGC
rnacentral:lncRNA from 1 species